AUUGAACGCUGGCGGCAGGCCUAACACAUGCAAGUCGAGCGGAUGAAGGGAGCUUGCUCCUGGAUUCAGCGGCGGACGGGUGAGUAAUGCCUAGGAAUCUGCCUGGUAGUGGGGGAUAACGUCCGGAAACGGGCGCUAUUACCGCAUACGUCCUGAGGGAGAAAGUGGGGGAUCUUCGGACCUCACGCUAUCAGAUGAGCCUAGGUCGGAUUAGCUAGUUGGUGGGGUAAAGGCCUACCAAGGCGACGAUCCGUAACUGGUCUGAGAGGAUGAUCUGUCACACUGGAACUGAGACACGGUCCAGACUCCUACGGGAGGCAGCAGUGGGGAAUAUUGGACAAUGGGCGAAAGCCUGAUCCAGCCAUGCCGCGUGGGUGAAGAAGGUCUUCGGAUUGUAAAGCACUUUAAGUUGGGAGGAAGGGCAGUAAGUUAAUACCUUGCUGUUUUGACGUUACCAACAGAAUAAGCACCGGCUAACUUCGUG
rnacentral:rRNA from 1 species